rnacentral:rRNA from 1 species
AACUAACGCUGGCGGCGUGCCUAACACAUGCAAGUCGUACGAGAAAGCCGGCUUCGGCUGGUGAGUAAAGUGGCGCACGGGUGAGUAACGCGUGGAUAAUCUGCCCUUAAGUGUGGAAUAACGUACCGAAAGGUGCGCUAAUACCGCAUAAUGCCUGGCAACACAAGUUGUCCGGCCAAAGAAGGCCUCUGUUUACAAGCUUUCGCUUCAGGAUGAGUCCGCGUACCAUUAGCUUGUUGGUGGGGUAAUGGCCUACCAAGGCUGCGAUGGUUAGCUGGUCUGAGAGGAUGAUCAGCCACACUGGAACUGAGACACGGUCCAGACUCCUACGGGAGGCAGCAGUGAGGAAUAUUGCGCAAUGGGGGCAACCCUGACGCAGCAACGCCGCGUGAGUGAGGAAGGUUUUCGGACUGUAAAGCUACUGUCGAGCGGGAAGAAGUGUACCAUGGCUAAUAUCCAUGAUAUUUGACGGUACCGCUAGAGG